UACGAAGGGGGCUAGCGUUGCUCGGAAUGACUGGGCGUAAAGGGCGCGUAGGCGGUUUGUUGCGUCGGCUGUGAAAUCCCGAGGCUCAACCCCGGGCCUGCAGUGGAUACGGGCUGGCUAGAGGCAGGCAGGGGAGAACGGAAUUCCUGGUGUAGCGGUGAAAUGCGCAGAUAUCAGGAGGAACACCGGUGGCGAAGGCGGUUCUCUGGGCCUGUACUGACGCUGAGGAGCGAAAGCGUGGGGAGCGAACAGG
rnacentral:rRNA from 1 species